rnacentral:misc_RNA from 1 species
GUGUGGUUGGCUGCGGCGUUUGCAACAACUUCCAUGCUUUCAGACCUCUUCAGUUGUGCGGCAAGGCUUGUAUCGCCUUGNUGUAUUGNGGGUUUUCUGUGUUGAAUACCUAAUCAAUGGUAUCGGUUGGAUUGAUCAAUGUUUCAUUUCGUCUGUCGUCGCAUUCGCGGCGUGAGACGAACCUCGAUGCGGUCUCUUUGGCCCACCUCGUCGAAGCACAUGCUUUGACGUUGUGGCACAUUGAGCAUUGCUUGGUCUCUUGUAUACGGAACAUAUAGUGGGCAUGGAUCUAACGAUUCUUGUUUGCCCUCAUGUUAGCGUAACGCUUCUCUUACACGACUUGCUCCACGUUUUAGCUCGUACGGACGUGGU